CACGUAGGGGGCAAGCGUUGUCCGGAUUUAUUGGGCGUAAAGAGCUCGUAGGCGGUUCGGUAAGUCAGGUGUGAAACCUCCAGGCUCAACCUGGAGACGCCACCUGAUACUGCUGUGACUCGAGUCCGGUAGGGGAGCGUGGAAUUCCUGGUGUAGCGGUGAAAUGCGCAGAUAUCAGGAGGAACACCGAUGGCGAAGGCAGGUCUCUGGGCCAUUACUGACACUGAGAAGCGAAAGCAUGGGGAGCGAACAGG
rnacentral:rRNA from 1 species